UUGAAGUUCGGGGCUCAUUUUAAUGAUUUGUUUACGUCUGUUUAGUAUAUUAAUAGUUAAAAUUGAAUGUUUAGUCCUUCAUAAACAUAUUUAUGCCUUUUUCAAAUAGAAAUACAUUAAGAUGAUUUAAGAUUCCCAAAUAAUAUCGACGUGAUCCGCAGGUUUAUUGUUAUGGGCAGUGCGGUAUCCACGACCGUUAGAAUAAACGUCAUAAAUAAGGCUCACCGAGUCAAAUUGAUAAUUGUGAAUACCAUGGGGAUGGUGGGCCCACCCAUGCUGGAAGCAGUAGUCGUGGUCGUGGAGGUCGUGUAGGACGCGGUGGCCGUGGUGGUAGUCGUGGCCGUGGCAGUCGUGGAAACCGCGGGGGACGUGGAAACAGUGGAGAAACGGUGUAUGAAACUAUGAGUGACCUAGAUCUAGUUCGCGCUCAGCGUCAAGUCACUAAUAGACGUGUUGCGGCAUUGUCAGCGGAAGCUCGUAAGGAGCUUCUGAGCCGCAAGCGUGAGAAACAAUUAACACGAGUGCUUUUGCCUGACGCGCCACCCAGGAAGCGUCGCGUACAGUUAGUGUUUUUACUAUAUUACUUACUAUUAAUAUUCGUUGAAUAUUUCGAUAAACUUUAUUUGUUACAGAAGACCAUCGCCGGAUCGUGAGUCGUGUGAAUUUAUAGACAGCGAAUCUGGUGACGAUUCCAAUAGAAUUGUUAUUUUAGAAAAUAGGCAAGUGGCACCACCCAUGCAGGAUAACACUGGUGACGUCCACAUUCCGGACCUACAAGUGGCAGCGGUCUCGGAGCCGGGCGACUUGCUGCGUGCUGGUGAUAUAGAAGUGGGGGCAGAGGUUGAAAUUUCUGUGGCGCCUUCCACAAGUAAAUUGCAUACAUCAAUUGGGGUCAACGACAAAAACUUUGAACAGACCAUUGACGAAUGGAUUACUGAUGACUUAAGUGACUGUGACAUUGAAAAAGACGAUGAGAUAUGUCCAAUUUUACCAUCUCGCAAUGCUUCGACAGAACCGGCUAUUAUCACUGACCUGACGCCUUACGAAGCUAGAAUACUGGAGACUGAAGACCAGCAGAACGAUCUCGGUUUGAGAGACUUAGUGCCAAGUGACUGUUUUGAUUUUAAUUGGACAAGAGACCGACAGAUUUUUACAGGACAAAGAGAGACAUUUACUGGGACUGGAGGACCGACUUUUACUAUUUCAGACACGACACGUGUCGUCGAUAUUUUUUAUAAGAUGAUUGACAGUGAAUUUAUCGACAAACUUUGUACAGAGACCAAUCGAUACGCCGACCAAAAAAUUAAAUCACUAAAAGAAGCAAACAAGUUUCUUACAACUUCGCGGCUUUAUCGUUGGUCGCCGACUGACAGGGACGAAAUGAUCACCUUUCUGGCACUUAUAGUAUUACAAGGCCUAUUCCCUCUACCGGAGGAGGAAUCCUACUUCGCGUUCAAU